GUGCACAUUUCAUUGUCUGCUUUCUUUGUGACAAGAGAAAAGGUAUUUCUGAUGUGGGAAACAAACCUGUGGGGGUAAAUUAGCAGUGUGACUGACCUUAGCUGUUGCUGCCAGUCGCCUUCAGACAAGA